GAUGAACGCUGGCGGCGUGCCUAAUACAUGCAAGUCGAGCGAACAGAUAAGGAGCUUGCUCCUUUGACGUUAGCGGCGGACGGGUGAGUAACACGUGGGUAACCUACCUAUAAGACUGGGAUAACUUCGGGAAACCGGAGCUAAUACCGGAUAACAUUUGGAACCGCAUGGUUCUAAAGUGAAAGAUGGUUUUGCUAUCACUUAUAGAUGGACCCGCGCCGUAUUAGCUAGUUGGUAAGGUAACGGCUUACCAAGGCGACGAUACGUAGCCGACCUGAGAGGGUGAUCGGCCACACUGGAACUGAGACACGGUCCAGACUCCUACGGGAGGCAGCAGUAGGGAAUCUUCCGCAAUGGGCGAAAGCCUGACGGAGCAACGCCGCUUGAGUGAUGAAGGGUUUCGGCUCGUAAAACUCUGUUAUUAGGGAAGAACAAAUGUGUAAGUAACUGUGCACGUCUUGACGGUACCUAAUCAGAAAGCCACGGCUAACUACGUG
rnacentral:rRNA from 1 species